GGGCGUGUGGUGUAGUGGUAUCACUCAUGCUUUGCAGUAUUUCCGGCCCUAUGUAUAGUACCGGAACACCAUCUUUGUAUGCGGUCCAGGGUUCAAACCCCUGCGCGUCCA